GGCUGUGAUUUUGGAUCAAUUGAUUGCAACUGAGACUAAGGCUGCCUUCCAAGAAGGCCUUCCGCCAUGACCAUCUGCCAGUUCUUCCUGCAGGGCCGCUGCCGCUUUGGGGAGCGUUGCUGGAACGAGCACCGGAGAGGGGGCAGUGGCGGGGGUCGGCCUCUGCCGCAGCAGUACCCGGCGGCGCCCUCCGGUUGUAGCCGAGGGGGAUGGAGCAACAGUUCUCAGAGAUAUUCUAAUGUCAUCCAACCAUCUAAUUUCUCCAAAUCCCCAACUUGGAGGGGCAGCAGAGAUCCAGGGAAGACAUCCUUUGGGUCCUUUGACUCAGGAGCUUCAAGUAGUGGAAGCAGAAAUGUGGGGUUUUCUCAGAAGAGAUUCUCUUCACUGAACUCUAACCAAGUGGAUGGGCAGAAAAAUGAAGAGGAUAAACUGACUGAAGGAAUAGUAAAGGACAUGGAAGUUUGGGAAUCUUCAGGGCAGUGGAUGUUCUCUGUUUAUUCACCAGUGAAAGAAAAGCCAAAUAUAUCAGGUUUUACAGAUAUUUCACCAGAAGAGUUGAGACUUGAAUACUCUAACUAUAUAAGCAGCAAUAACUUACAAAGCUAUCUGAAUUCUAUCCAGCAAUUAGUAAACCUGUGGAAGAGCAGGUUACUUGAACUGAAGAACAUAAAUUCAGCAACCAAAGGAGCAUUGUUUUCCAAACUGAAGAAUGAAGGGGUACAAGUGGUUCCUACCUUUGGAUUUCAGAGUCAGCCAACCUCCACAUUCGGUUCAGCAGCCUUCCCGGGGAGCAGCAAUAACAGCCGCAGCAGCAGUGUCCAGAAUUUCAGUUUUAAGCCUACUUUGGGAUUUGGGGCCGCCCCGUCAGGCAACAGCACCUCUGUCUUUGGCUCACCGGCCUCCCUGGCGCUCACAGCUGCAUCUUCCUCCGGCUCGACAAUGACCUCCUCCACUCCCACUUCCUUUGGGUUCGGGGAGUCCUCCACUGUCUCGGCAGCAUCUUUUUCAUUCAAAAGCCCGGAAGUUUUUAGCUUUGGAUCAGCGGGGUUUUCAGGAUUUCCUGCUUCUUCCCCAUUAAGCACAGCAGGUGCCACCAGCACCCCUGCUUUUGGGGGAGGGAGUGGCGCAACAGGGUGGGGUGGCUUCGGCCCCUCGGGCUCGGGGGCCAACUUGUUUGGACUGCCCACCAGCGGCUUUGGGCCCGGCGACCCCUCCUCCUCCUCUGAGCCGCCGACCAGGGCUGGUAACACGGCCGAGAACCUGUUCACACCCAAGAACGAACUGACAGCCGAGGAGCUCAAACAGUUUGUGGCAAAGAAGUUUACAUUAGGGAAGGUUCCCCUCAAGCCACCACCGGAAGGGCUUCUGAGCCUUUAAAAGGACACUUUAAGGAAAGGGGGAGCCACGGGUAACCCUAGAGAACUUCUAAAUUUACUUCUCUAUACCAUU